UACAGAGGGGGCAAGCGUUAUUCGGAAUUAUUGGGCGUAAAGGGCGCGUAGGCGGCUUGGCAAGUGGAAUGUGAAAUCCCUCGGCUUAACCGAGGAACUGCCCUCCAAACUGCUUCGCUUGAGACCGGGAGAGGUGAGUGGAAUUCCCAGUGUAGCGGUGAAAUGCGUAGAUAUUGGGAGGAACACCAGUGGCGAAGGCGGCUCACUGGACCGGUACUGACGCUGAUGCGCGAAAGCGUGGGGAGCAAACGGG
rnacentral:rRNA from 1 species